rnacentral:rRNA from 1 species
GUGCCAGCCGCCGCGGUAAUACCGGCAGCUCGAGUGAUGACCGAUUUUAUUGGGCCUAAAGCGUCCGUAGCUGGCCGUACAAGUCCGUCGGGAAAUCUACCUGCCCAACAGGUAGGCGUCCGGCAGAAACUGUAUGGCUUGGAACCGGAAGGCGUGAAGGGUACGUCUGGGGUAGGAGUGAAAUCCUGUAAUCCCAGACGGACCACCGAUGGCGAAAGCACUUCACGAGGACGGAUUCGACAGUGAGGGACGAAAGCUAGGGUCUCGAACCGGAUUAGAAACCCCAGUAGUCC